AACCUAGUUGUUUUCACCAUUCAGCUUGAAGUGUCAGGUCCGACACUGACCUGGUAUAGUGGUCAGAGUUUCAUAUUGUAUGUGUACUAAUAUAUAACUGAUGAGGGUGGGAAGAAGAGACAGGUUAGAAUGGCAGGGUCCCUUUUACCAGCUCACAAUUACUAUCCAAGAGGACAGUGCCUGGGAUACAGUUUGACCUUAGACAGAAACAUGGUAGCACUGGAUUUACCAUGUAGAGGUGAAAGACAAAGGGUCUUCACUUAGUCCAGUUCUGGACACUAUGAAACAGGUAAACUGCUAGUAAAACCUGAAGGGCUCUCCCACACAUUUUUACCCAUAAUAUUACUGAGACCCAGAGAGCAGGAUUGAAGAGGUAAGAGCAUGGACCUUGGUGUGUGUCAGACGAGCUGUUUUUCUUCUUGGCUCCAAAACUCACUGUUACUGUGGUUUUAGAAAACUGUUAACGCUCCCUAAACCUCAGUUUCAUUAUCUGUAAAAGAGGGUAAGAGAAGCACCUCCUUAGCAAGGAACAUAAGGAGCAAGUUGGAGAAUAUAUAACAAUCAACAAAUGCCGUUGACUGGGGCACUGUGUGUACUCAGCAGAUGUUGAGUUCGUGAUGAUCCAAGUAUACUACCUGGUAAGUAACAUAUGCUGGAUGAUAACGUUUCCUUGCUCGGGUCAGCACAGAAGCCUGGGGUCGGGUAGAUCAACUGAAGUUAGAUGACCCCACCACUUGGUUUUUGAGAACAGCCCCACGGGGAUUUACAGCUUCGGCCCCAUCUCUCAGCCGGAUUUGCAGUGUCAGGCGGACACUGAGCAGGCUCAUUCUGUGCUCAGGUUUCUUUCCCUGUGGGGAUCGAGGAGGGGGAGCCCAAGCCUUGGAUCAGGAAGACAUUCUUGCCGCUCCCUGUGUAAGAUGAUAAUGCCAAGGGUGCCUGGCGCCGAGCAAGGGAACGUGUCCUCCCUCCAAGGCUCCUUGACCCUACGCGAUGACUAGGUGCCUGCUGGUAUUAGACCCUGGGGACUCUCUUGAAAACCCGUGUUUCUCUCCCCUUUUUUCUUUGUUUGUUUAAUUGGCUGUGUUGUACAGUGGGGUACGGGAUGCAUUUCUGCUUCCUGGCAGUGAUUGUUACCGUAAACAAUUUUUCAUAGACUUUUUUUUUUGGAGCAAUUAUAUGUUCAUAGCAAAUUGGGCAGAAAGCACAGAGAAUGCCCAUAUACUCCCUACCCCUCAAACACACACAGCCUCCCCACUAGAGGGUACCUUUGUGACAGUCAGUGAACCUACAGUGACAUGUCAUUAUCACCCAGAUUCCAUAGUUUACUUCAGGGUUCACUCUUGGUGUUAUACCUUCUAUAGGAGUUGUUGACUUUUUACCCCAGAAAUUGUCCCAGGAAAGCCUAUUCCAGUCAUUUGGGGCGAGGCUGGUGAUGCCAAUCUGUUUUCAGAUAACCUGUUUUGGAGAAGAACGUUUAAGAUUGAGUAGAAGUAGAAAAGAAAGAAAGAUAUUAUGGAAGGAAGGAAAGAGAGAGAAGAGAAAGGACCUUCCACUUACCCAGGCAAGUCCCACCCCCAAUCUCUGAAGCUCAUCACCAACAGCGGUUAAUGAUUGUUCUUACCUAAAAUGUCCAUACUUUUCCCCUGUUUCCUAAAUCUGUGUCUAGCAUCUCACAGUGUCUCUGGGCCUUCCUCUUUCUGGAGAGAGAAUUCUACCUUUGAAUCUUUUCCUUGAAGCUUUUUCCUGCACAUCGUCCAGGGCUCCAUGAUGAGGGCCCCAAACUGUGAAAGGGGAAAGUUUUAUUUUGAAAUGGAAGGCUCAGAAAUGGAUGGGGGCAAUUCUGCAGUCUUUUUCAGCACAUAAGAUAACUUAUUUUAAUUGCUCUUGUAAAGUUCUUAUAAGGAAAUCUAAGUCAGCCUCCUGCACUGACAUGAAACUUUGUGGGAAGUUGGCUGCCCCCGGAGCCCCGGGCAACGCUGAGAUGUCCUUCCAAACAGGGACCCGGACAGCUGAAGGGCUCCAGUUACCCAAGACAAUAUUGCACAUCAAUUUGGAAUAUAUUAAAGAAGACACCAAGAUCAAUGAGCUUAUUCAAAAAGAAGAUAAAUCUUGGUGCUGGAAUUUUCUAGAGAAAAGUAUGAAGCGUGCUGCGGCAGGUCCAAACUGAACUCUG